rnacentral:lncRNA from 1 species
AAACAGUCAGCCUCGCGGGGAGUGUUUAUCCAGCUAUGGGGGAACAUGGCUGCAGUUAUCUCGUUCACACUUUCCAAGCUGACCCGCUUCCCCGGCAUGUUUGUUCAGGACAGGGUACGCCCCCCCCCCCCCCACGCAUCUGAUCCAUCCCAGGGGAAGUCCCAUAUACAGGAAGCUAGCAGACAGGGCACGCCUCCCUCUACUCUGACCUGGGAAGAAAUACUGAAACCCUUCCCCAGGCAAGACAGCUAACACUCCUUCCUAUAUUUCUAAUGAUUGAAGAGUAUCUGUUCAAAAGUUCGUGUCCACCCAGAACCUAUGAAAGGAAAACAGAAGUAGAGCCCUUACAGAGAUUUCAGAGACGAAUGCUGGAUGCCUGAAGUGACAUCCCAAACAACACCAAGAUCUGUUGCAAACCACCAAGCUGGACAGAACCUGCCCCUCCAGUAUUCAAGAGGAAUAUGACCAGGGCUGACUAAGGUCAAGACCAGCAGCGAUCCAUCAUUUGGUCAUGAGUGUCUGAGAUGCUGUGCGAUGAGGAUAGCAGCUUGCCUACGUGGUCUGUCUUCUCAAACCUCAAUCCCAGUUUAAUCAGAAGGAAAACACCAGGUACAAACCUGGAUUAGCUGGCAGAUCCAACAGACGGUCCCUCAGCAUGUGGCCUAGACACUGUUUUUCUUCUGUUUGCUUGUUUUAUGCUGUCUGGUAUGUUUGUUUUUAUUUUAUCUAAUUUUAUUUUAAUACCAUUACU